ensembl:snoRNA SNORD111 small nucleolar RNA, C/D box 111
CAGCCUGAAAUGAUGAUUCUUUAAAUUUCAUGUCUCUUCUCUGACAUUUUUCUCUGGAGGUAGUUCUUGCCUUAUUGAUCUGAUUAGGCUG